rnacentral:rRNA from 1 species
UACGUAGGUGGCAAGCGUUGUCCGGAUUUACUGGGCGUAAAGAGCGCGCAGGCGGUCGGCCAAGUCGAGUGUGAAAGCCCCUGGCUCAACCAGGGAGGGUCGUGUGAAACGGGGUAACUGGAGGCAGAGAGAGGCUGGUGGAAUUCCCGGAGUAGUGGUGAAAUGCGUAGAGAUCGGGAGGAACACCGGUGGCGAAGGCGGCCAGCUGGCUCUGACCUGACGCUGAGGCGCGAAGGCGUGGGGAGCGAACGGG